GCAGGCGUAGCUCAGCUGGUCCAGAGCAUCUCGUUUACACCGAGGGGGUCGGAGGUUCGAAUCCUUCCGCCUGUA
rnacentral:tRNA from 1 species